GCAGUCGAGCGGAUGACAGAGGAGCUUGCUCCUCUAGAUUCAGCGGCGGACGGGUUGAGUAACACGUGGGCAACCUGCCCUGUUAGAUUGGGAUAACUCCGGGAAACCGGGGCUAAUACCGAAUAAUCCUUCGGACCUCAUGGUCCGAUGUUGAAAGGCGGCUUCGGCUGUCACUACAGGAUGGGCCCGCGGCGCAUUAGCUAGUUGGUGAGGUAACGGCUCACCAAGGCGACGAUGCGUAGCCGACCUGAGAGGGUGACCGGCCACACUGGGACUGAGACACGGCCCAGACUCCUACGGGAGGCAGCAGUAGGGAAUCUUCCGCAAUGGACGAAAGUCUGACGGAGCAACGCCGCGUGAGCGAAGAAGGUCUUCGGAUCGUAAAGCUCUGUUGUCAGGGAAGAACAAGUGCCGUUCGAACAGGGCGGUACCUUGACGGUACCUGACGAGGAAGCCACGGCUAACUACGUGCCAGCAGCCGCGGUAAU
rnacentral:rRNA from 1 species